rnacentral:rRNA from 1 species
CGUCAAGUCCUCAUGGCCUUUAUGACUAGGGCUGCACACGUCCUACAAUGGUACGUACAAAGGGAUGCAAAGCCGCGAGGUAGAGCAAAUCUCAGAAAACGUGCCUCAGUUCAGAUUGUAGGCUGCAACCCGCCUACAUGAAGCUGGAAUCGCUAGUAAUCGCGGGUCAGCAUACCGCGGUGAAUGUGUUCCUGAGCCUU